GAUGUUGCACUUCUAAAAGAUUAUGGAUAGGACAGAGAAAGGCAUGCGAGGAUGAGACGGAGCAGAGAUGUCAUUUUCAGUGCUUGACGUUUGCGUUUGAACCGGCAUUCCUAUGGAGCAAAACUGAAACUCUUCCAGCCAAUCACCUGAAGCUGAUGAAAAGCAUGGAGAGAGAAAGAGAACCGUGAGAUUUUGGGCACUGUGGAAAGGAAAGCAGUCGGUGAGCUUUCUAGAUUUGUGAUCUCUAGAUUAAACAUCUAACCUAUUUAAUAUAUAUGUAUGUAAAGUUUAUAGCUAAUAUAACACAGGGGUCUCAACACUGAGUCCCCAGCUAUUGUCAGACUACUACUCCCAUCAUCCACAGCCACAUUGUGGCUGAUGGGAGUUGUCCAAGCACAGCAGGGGACCGAAGGUUGAGCACCCCUGCUGAAAUGUAUCAUGAGAAAACAGAAUAAUGUUCUGAUACUUAACGAUGCCAACAAUUAAUAAAAAGAAGGUUUCAAGUUGA